rnacentral:rRNA from 1 species
GGACGAACGCUGGCGGCGUGCUUAACACAUGCAAGUCGAGCGGUAAGGCCCUUUCGGGGGUACACGAGCGGCGAACGGGUGAGUAACACGUGGGUGACCUGCCCUUAGCUCUGGGAUAAGCCUGGGAAACUGGGUCUAAUACCGGAUAUGACUCCAUGACGCAUGUUGUGGGGUGGAAAGCCUUGUGCGGCUAGGGAUGGGCCCGCGGCCUAUCAGCUUGUUGGUGGGGUGAUGGCCUACCAAGGCGACGACGGGUAGCCGGCCUGAGAGGGCGACCGGCCACACUGGGACUGAGACACGGCCCAGACUCCUACGGGAGGCAGCAGUGGGGAAUCUUGCGCAAUGGGCGAAAGCCUGACGCAGCGACGCCGCGUGAGGGAUGACGGCC